rnacentral:rRNA from 1 species
UACGUAGGCAGCGAGCGUUGUUCGGAGUUACAGGGCGUAAAGGGUGUGUAGGCGGUUUUCUAAGUUUGGUGUGAAAUCUCCCGGCUUAACCGGGAGGGUGCGCCGAAAACUGGGAGACUAGAGUGCGGGAUGGGAGAGUAGAAUUCCUGGUGUAGCGGUGAAAUGCGUAGAUAUCAGGAGGAAUACCGGUGGUGCAGACGGCUCUCUGGACCGCAACUGACGCUGAGACACGAAAGCGUGGGUAGCAAACAGG